rnacentral:rRNA from 1 species
GACGAACGCUGGCGGCGUGCUUAACACAUGCAAGUCGAACGGAAAGGCCCUGCUUUUGUGGGGUGCUCGAGUGGCGAACGGGUGAGUAACACGUGAGUAACCUGCCCUUGACUUUGGGAUAACUUCAGGAAACUGGGGCUAAUACCGGAUAGGAGCUCCUGCUGCAUGGUGGGGGUUGGAAAGUUUCGGCGGUUGGGGAUGGACUCGCGGCUUAUCAGCUUGUUGGUGGGGUAGUGGCUUACCAAGGCUUUGACGGGUAGCCGGCCUGAGAGGGUGACCGGCCCCAUUGGGGGAGAGAGACGCCCCAGACACCCCCGGGGGGGAGAGGGGGGGAAAAUUGCGCAAAGGGGGGGGGCCCGAGGCGGAAACGCCCCGGGCGGGGGAGGGGGCUUCGGGUGUUAAAACCCUUUCGCGCGUGACGAAACGUGAGUGAGGGGAUUGGGGGAAGAAACACCCGGUAUCAACGC